rnacentral:rRNA from 1 species
ACUCCUACGGGAGGCAGCAGUGGGGAAUAUUGCACAAUGGGCGCAAGCCUGAUGCAGCAACGCCGCGUGAGGGACGAAGGCCUUCGGGUGUAACCUCUUUUAGUAGGGAGAAGCGAAAGUGACGGUACCUGCAGAAAAGCACCGGCUAACUACGUGCCAGCAGCCGCGGUAAUACGUAGGGUGCAAGCGUUAUCCGGAAUUAUUGGGCGUAAAGAGCUCGUAGGCGGUUUGUCGCGUCUGCCGUGAAAACCCGAGGCUCAACCUCGGGCCUGCGGUGGGUACGGGCAGACUAGAGUGCGGUAGGGGAGAUUGGAAUUCCUGGUGUAGCGGUGGAAUGCGCAGAUAUCAGGAGGAACACCAAUGGCGAAGGCAGAUCUCUGGGCCGUAACUGACGCUGAGGAGCGAAAGCAUGGGGAGCGAACAGGAUUAGAUACCCUGGUAGUCCAUGCCGUAAACGUUGGGAACUAGAUGUAGGGACCAUUCCACGGUUUCUGUGUCGCAGCUAACGCAUUAAGUUCCCCGCCUGGGGAGUACGGCCGCAGGGCUAAAACUCAAAGGAAUUGACGGGGGCCCGCACAAGCGGCGGAGCAUGCGGAUUAAUUCGAUGCAACGCGAAGAACCUUACCAAGGCUUGACAUAUACCGGUAAAGAGCAGAAAUGUUCUCCCCGCAAGGUCGGUAUACAGGUGGUGCAUGGUUGUCGUCAGCUCGUGUCGUGAGAUGUUGGGUUAAGUCCCGCAACGAGCGCAACCCUCGUUCUAUGUUGCCAGCACGUAAUGGUGGGAACUCAUAGGAGACUGCCGGGGUCAACUCGGA